rnacentral:rRNA from 1 species
GAUGAACGCUGGCGGCGUGCCUAAUACAUGCAAGUCGAGCGAACGGACGAGAAGCUUGCUUUUCUGAUGUUAGCGGCGGACGGGUGAGUAACACGUGGAUAACCUACCUAUAAGACUGGGAUAACUUCGGGAAACCGGAGCUAAUACCGGAUAAUAUUUUGAACCGCAUGGUUCAAAAGUGAAAGACGGUCUUGCUGUCACUUAUAGAUGGAUCCGCGCUGCAUUAGCUAGUUGGUAAGGUAACGGCUUACCAAGGCAACGAUGCAUAGCCGACCUGAGAGGGUGAUCGGCCACACUGGAACUGAGACACGGUCCAGACUCCUACGGGAGGCAGCAGUAGGGAAUCUUCCGCAAUGGGCGAAAGCCUGACGGAGCAACGCCGCGUGAGUGAUGAAGGUCUUCGGAUCGUAAAACUCUGUUAUUAGGGAAGAACAUAUGUGUAAGUGACUGUGCACAUCUUGACGGUACCUAAUCAGAAAGCCACGGCUAACUACGUG